UGGAGCGCUUAGAAGUGAGAAUGCCGGUGUGAGUAACGUAAGGUAGGUGAGAAUCCUACCCACUGAUUGACCAAGGAUUCCAGGGUCAAGUUCGUCUACCCUGGGUAAGUCAGGACCUAAGGCGAGGCUGAGAAGCGUAGUCGAUGGACAACAGGUUUAUAUUCCUGUACUAUUUAUAGGACUGAAGGAGUGACAAAGGAAGCUAGUAAGAGCCAUUUAAUGGAUUAUGGUCUAAGCACAAAGACUGAUACAUAGGAAAAUCCGUGAUAUCGAACGGUUGAAGUGUGAUGGCGAAGCAGUCUACGGACAGCGAAGUCUUAUGAGGCUAAACUUUUUAAAAAAGCUUCUAAAGAUAUGCUAUAAAUACCUGUACUAAGAACCAACGCAGGUGGUCAAGGAGAGAAUCCUAAGGUGAGCGAGAGAACUAUGGUUAAGGAACUCGGCACAAUGAUCCCGUAACUUCGGAAUAAGGGAAGGUCUUGAAAAAGACCCGCAGUGAAUAGGCCCAAGCGACUGUUUACCAAAAACACAGGUUUCUGCAAAAGCGUAAGCUGAAGUAUAGGAGCUGACGCCUGCCCAGUGCUGGAAGGUUAAGAUGAUUUGUAAGAUGGACGAAAGUCGAUAACAUCGAAGCAAUGAAUUGAAGCCCCAGUGAACGGCGGCGAUAACUAUAAUCGUCCAAAGGUAGCGAAAUUCCUUGUCAGGUAAGUUCUGACCCGCACGAAAGGCGUAAUGAUCUGGGUACUGUCUCAACCAUAGACUCGGUGAAAUCUUAAUACCUGUGAAAAUGCAGGUUACCAGCGACAGGACGGAAAGACCCCAUGGAGCUUUACUGUAGCUUGAUAUUGAAAUCAGGUAGUUAAUGUAGAGGAUAGGUGGUAGACAAUGAAGUUAAGACGCUAGUCUUAAUGGAGUCGACCUUGGAAUACCACCCUUUGACUAUUUGAUUUCUAACUUGCACCCGUAAUCCGGGUGAAGGACAGUGUCUGGUGGGCAGUUUGACUGGGGCGGUCGCCUCCUAAAGAAUAACGGAGGCGCUCAAAGGUUCCCUCAGAUUGGUCGGAAAUCAAUCAAAGAGUGUAUUGGUAUAAGGGAGCUUGACUGCGAGACCAACAAGUCGAGCAGGUGCGAAAGCAGGACAAAGUGAUCAGGCGGUAGAAAAUGGAAUUGCCGUCGCUUAACGGAUAAAAGUUACCCUGGGGAUAACAGGCUGAUACCACCCAAUAGUUCACAUAGACGGUGGUGAUUGGCACCUCGAUGUCGGCUCGUCACAUCCUGGAGGUGGAUUCGCUUCCAAGGGUUGGGCUGUUCGCCCAUUAAAGUGGCACGCGAGCUGGGUUCAGAACGUCGUGAGACAGUUCGGUCCCUAU
rnacentral:rRNA from 1 species